rnacentral:tRNA from 1 species
CAAGACCUGUGUAAUACUAAUACACAUCUCAUGAAUGCAAAUCAAACACUUUAAUUAAGCUAAGGCCUC